GUCUCGGUAGCUCAGCUGGAUAGAGCAACGCCCUUCUAAGGCGUGGGUCGGGGGUUCGAAUCUCUCCCGGGACACCA
rnacentral:tRNA from 1 species